ensembl:lncRNA
UUUCUAUAUUUCAUUAAAAAUGAUAAAACAUGAAACCUCAAAUGCAAAACAUUUUGAUUCAGGAUGGCAUGAUGUUUCCUGGAGUUAUAGUCUGCUUACUUUGUGAUCUAAUUCUCCUCUAUAGAACAGAUCUUCUGGCUAAGCUACAUAUUUUUGGAAUAUGGAAGGUAUCAUGAAAUUUGCAAUGCAGACAGAGAACACAGAAUAUAAGGUGUUGGAUCUACACCUGCCAUUAGGAAUCAGUAUUCUCAGUAUUCCACCUUCUGUGCUCUGCUGAAAAGGGCAAAGGUAUGUCUGUGCCCACCUGAGACCUGCGCUGGCGUGUAUUUAGAUGCCUCUCUGUUUUCAAGGACCUAACCUAGCCUAUUCUAACACUGGGGAAAAGAAGGAUGUUAUGGCACCGUGGCAAGCAGGGCAUAUUCCAUACCGACCAUUGUUAAUAAUUGUACUAACUAUGGCAGAACGACCAGAAAUAAAAGAGAUACAGUUCCAUUCCCCACUCACGUGGUCUCAUGGUCCCAUUAAGUGAAAGCUAGCAGACAACAGGGAAGCAACUCCAAAUAAAAAGAAAGUUCUGACAACUGAAACCUGAGUCCUUGGAGGAGCACUGGUGGCAUGUUUAAUCAUAACUGGAAUCUUUGGAAAACUUUUCUUUCAUCUAAGGAGACAAUCUCUUUUUUUUUUUUUUUCUGCCAGCACAGCAGACUAUGACAUAUUUUCACAACUUGGAAAUAGCUUAAUGAUCUGCUGAUUUCUCUGUAAUGUCUCCCAGAAUUCAGUCUAAAUUAUCAUGAGAGAGAAUCACACGAACAUCUAAUUGAGCCUUGUUUUGCAGAAACUUAUGGUUUUUAUUUUCAUAGUUGAAGGUGUCAGAGAACUGUUUCAAUAUUUUGUUUACUUUCUGACCUGCAUAGUUUACUAAGAAUAGCUGAAAUAUAAACAGUGUAAUUUAUACUACACACUAUAAACAGUGUAAUUUAAUAAUAAUCAUACGGUGACUUUUGUUUAACCUAUGAAAAAGUACUCCAAACAUAACCAUCAUCUGACAGUUUUCACUUUUGUCUUGAACAAAAAAAGGUUUCCAUGCAAUAGCACAGGAUUUUUCCACUCUGUGAGAAAGCACUGAUCCUUUCUAUCUUGCUACUUCAUAAGUCUACAGCCAACAAAGCGAGUCCAGUCUGACGUGAUUAAAACUAAAUUGACUUGAAUGUAUUUAUAGCCCAGUACCUGGGCCAGAGCACCAAACAUCCCCACCAAACACACGCAGUACCCACCCACCACAUCUUCCCUGGCUGUAAUGAGGUAGGCGGGUAAUUAUGCUGAAAUAGAGACAUCUGACCGGAUGUGAGUGUAGACUAUCCUUCCAAAAAAAAACCUUCCCAUAUUGAAGACGGAAUAAUGCAAAACAAUUCCAAACCCCCAAAUUCACAAGAGCUUCUCUAGCUGAUUCUCUUAUAAUACAUAUGCCGGAAGAUCUAAAAGUGUAACUGUUACUGUUGUGAAAUAUAUUCAAAAGAGAACUUGAAUUCCUAUGGCGCUUCAAGUUUAUAGGCUUUUUAA